rnacentral:rRNA from 1 species
AGUGAACGCUGGCGGUAGGCCUAACACAUGCAAGUCGAACGGCAGCACAGGAGAGCUUGCUCUCUGGGUGGCGAGUGGCGGACGGGUGAGGAAUACAUCGGAAUCUACUCUGUCGUGGGGGAUAACGUAGGGAAACUUACGCUAAUACCGCAUACGACCUACGGGUGAAAGCAGGGGACCUACGGGCCUUGCGCGAUUGAAUGAGCCGAUGUCGGAUUAGCUAGUUGGCGGGGUAAAGGCCCACCAAGGCGACGAUCCGUAGCUGGUCUGAGGGGAUGAUCAGCAACACUGGAACUGAGACACGGUCCAGACUCCUACUGGAGGCAGCAGUGGGGAAUAUUGAACAAUGGGCGCAAGCCUGAUCCAGCCAUACCGCGUGGGUGAAGAAGGCUUUCGGGUUGUAAAGCCCUUUUGUUGGGAAAGAAAUCCAGCUGGCUAAUACCCGGUUGGGAUGACGGUACCCAAAGAAUAAGCACCGGCUAACUUCGUGCCAGCCGCCGCCGUAA